rnacentral:misc_RNA from 1 species
AAGUCGUAACAAGGUUUCCGUAGGUGAACCUGCGGAAGGAUCAUUAACGAGUCCAACCCAGCUUUUAAUUUAGCUGUGCAUUUACUUGCACGCCGAAUUAAUUGUUGGUCAUUGACUUUACACACCUGUGCACCUUUGCGAACUUCUGUAAAGUCGUUCGCUUUUUUACACCUUUUUUGAAUGUCUUUGAAUAUUCACGAUUGUACCGUAAUGGCGCAAUUGUUUAAAUAUAAUACAACUUUCAGCAACGGAUCUCUUGGCUCUC